CCUACGGGGGGCAGCAGUGGGGAAUAUUGGGCAAUGGGCGCAAGCCUGACCCAGCAACGCCGCGUGAAGGAAGAAGGCUUUCGGGUUGUAAACUUCUUUUAAGAGGGAAGAGUAGAAGACGGUACCUCUUGAAUAAGCCACGGCUAACUACGUGCCAGCAGCCGCGGUAAUACGUAGGGGGCGAGCGUUAUCCGGAUUCAUUGGGCGUAAAGCGCGCGUAGGCGGCCUGUUAGGUCGGGGGUCAAAUACCGGGGCUCAACCCCGGUCCGCCCCCGAUACCGGCAGGCUUGAGUCUGGGAGGGGAA
rnacentral:rRNA from 1 species